UUGGCCUUGACAUACUAAGAACUUUCCAGAGAUGGAUUGGUGCCUUUCGGGAACUUAGAUACAGGUGCUGCAUGGCUGUCGUCAGCUCGUGUCGUGAGAUGUUGGGUUAAGUCCGCAACGAGCGCAACCCUUUUCCUUAUUUGCCAGCGGGUAAUGCCGGGAACUUUAAGGAUACUGCCAGUGACAAACUGGAGGAAGGCGGGGACGACGUCAAGUCAUCAUGGCCCUUACGGCCAGGGCUACACACGUGCUACAAUGGUCGGUACAAAGGGUUGCUACCUCGCGAGAGGAUGCUAAUCUCAAAAAGCCGAUCGUAGUCCGGAUCGCAGUCUGCAACUCGACUGCGUGAAGUCGGAAUCGCUAGUAAUCGCGGAUCAGAAUGCCGCGGUGAAUACGUUCCCGGGCCUUGUACACACCGCCCGUCACACCAUGGGAGUUUGUUGCACCAGAAGUAGGUAGUCUAACCGCAAGGAGGACGCUUACCACGGUGUGGCCGAUGACUGGGGUGAAGUCGUAACAAGGUAGGCGUAGAUGA
rnacentral:rRNA from 1 species